AGCUUUGUACAGUGGCAGUAUCGUAGCCAGUGAGGUUUAUCUGAGGCUCGAUUAUUGCUAAUUGAAAACUAAACACUUAUUUAAGACUGGGUGUGGCGGCUCACACCUGUAAUCCCAGCACUUUGG
rnacentral:snRNA from 1 species